rnacentral:lncRNA from 1 species
AGCCGUCCCCGCCAAUAUCACCACUGUCCACCGCCGCAAAUCACCACCGUCCACCGCCGUCAAUCCACCGGAAAAUCAAGAACUGAUGAAAACACUGCCGGAAAAAUCCAUUUCAAGCAGAAAAAAUCCAACUUUGAAAUCCACAAAGUAAAUACUUUCUGCAUUUGCAUUUCUGACAUCUUCUUGAAAUCUACAGAACCAAAAUCAACAAGAACCUUCAUUGCACACCAACUGUUUGAUAAUUUUCCACCAAAUUUUUUUCAGCACCAAAAUAAGUCCUACAAAAAAAAAAGAUGAGAUUUUUAAAGAAUCCCAUUUACAAAAAAAAUAAAAAGGUGUUUGAUUUUGUCUUUUUGGUGCAUUUUUUGGGGUGUCACAUGAACCAAGAAAGGUGAAAAACAUGGGGCUGAUAAAUGGGUGUGUAGGUACUAUCAUUACUGUGAUACGUUGCUCAGACUCUUCAAAAAUAUUAUUAGAAAAGUGUCUAAUCCUUCAAAAGUAGGGUGCGAUAACAUUUUUGAAAAGUUCGAACAAUUUAUAUAAUACUACUAUAUGUCAUAUUGUUUUAUUUUCUAACUAAUUCAGAUUCAUGUUGAUAAAAAGAUUAUAGCUUUAGCACUUCCUACUAAAUAAAAAGGUCAAUUAUGAGAGUUUUAGUACUCCUUACCAAAGAACAUCUCAUGAUUCGAACUCGAGACUUCUCCAUUACCAUUCCACUACACACCAUUACAUGAAACACUUAGUGGCUCCUACCCCCCAAAAAAAAAAAAGUUCCAUCUCAAGAUUCAAAUCCGAGACUUUACGUCAAGAAUGAAGAGAUCUUUACUUCAUUUCAAGAUUUGAACUCCAGACUUUUUAUCAAGAAUGAAGAGACCUUUACCCUUCCUCAACACCCUUUUAGUGAAACUUCUUUGUUUGUUUUGUUUUCUUCACAACCUUUAUGAUAAAAAGAGGAUGUUUGAUGAGCAAAGUUGUCCUAUCCUUAAAAUCAUGUGUUGGUAGUACUUACUACUAAGUCUAUGAGGGAAUUAGGUGUGAUAGGAAGAGAGAAAGAAGAGGGGAAAAAGAAGGUUAAGGAGACAAUUUAAGGACAUUGAAAGAGAAAUCCUUUGUGCCUUGUAAGUUUGUAUAUGUCUAUUCCCAACACAGUGUGACCAUCUGUCUUAUUAAACAAACAUAAUGAAGCCAAUAGUGUUAGCUUUGUGUUAUGUUAUUUGGGCAUGGGCUUGACAUUGAUUGACACUAAUAAAACCCCACACCUCUUUAGU